rnacentral:lncRNA from 10 species
CUUCGAUCUCCUUCUAAUCUAAAAAAUUCAUUCCAAGCGUAGUUUUCAUAUAACUGGAGGACAGUUGUUUGAGGAGGGGAGGAGGAUUGGAAACAGUUUGUUUUCUCUUCCCUCGUUCCUCUCAGUGGAUUCAGUGGAUAAAGAGCAGGCACACAUUACAAUAAACAUUUUUAUGGUCCCCAACAUUAGGCAUAUAAAUCCUACCUGUCUUCACACACUUACACACUAAAACUCCCACAGAAAGGGGGAAAAUUAGAAAAGGGGUGAUAUAAUUUGACUCUGUGUCACCACCCAAAUCUCAUCUUGAAUUGUAAUCCCCGUAAUUUCUCACCUGGCAAGAGUGGGACCAGGUGGAGACAAUUGGAUCAUGGGGGCAGUUUUCCCCAUGCUCUUCUCGUGAUAAUGAUUGAGUCUCAUGGGAUCUGAUGAUUCUAUAAGUGUCUGGCUUUUCUCCUACUUGCACUCACUCCAUCCUGCCACCCUGCGAGGAAGGUGCCUGCUUCUUCUUUGCCUUCCGCCGUGAGUGUGAGUCUCCUGAGGCCUCCCCAGCAAUGUGGAACUGGAUACGUCAUGGAACAGAGGGCAACCUGCCUCCUGGAAAUGUGGAGUGUCUAGGGAGUCACAGCUGAGAUCUUCCUUGGAUUAAAGGCUGCGGGUGUCACAAACAGAUUCAACUGGGUGAAAUAACUGUGAACUGGGCAUGUGAAGAGAAAGCUGAAAGCCAUGAUCUCAAGAUGGAAACUUCAGUAUCCAGCAAAGGAUGCUGUAACAACACCAUAAACUUUCAAACAACUCUAUUUCCUACGGUUCUGGAGGCUGGAAGUCCACAAUCAAAGUGUCAUGUUGUCAGGUUGUGGUGAGGGCCCUCUUUUGGGUGUAGAUUGCUAACUUUUCUGUAUGUGUUCACAUGGCAGAAAGAGAUUGAGCUAGCUCUUGGAUCCUUUCUUAUAAGGGCACCAAUCCCAAUACAGAGGCUUCACUCUCAUGACAUAAUUGUCUCCCAAAGACUCUACCUCCAAAUAUUAUCAAUCACAUUAGGGGAUAGAUUUUAACACAUGAUUUUGGGGGGAACACAUUCAGUCCAUAACAUUUCUUGAGUCUUCUUCUAGGACCCAUAGGUUAUUUUAAAAGUGGCUUGUUCAGUUCCAAGUGUUUGAAGAUUUUUUUUUUCUGUUAUCUUUAACUUACUGAUUUCUAGAUAGACCCCAUUGUGCUCAGAGAACACUCCUUAUGUGAUUUCAAUUAUUUUAAAUUUGUUGAGAUUUUAUGACUUAGUAUGUCAUCUGUCUUGGUGUGUAUUCUGUGGGGGGGAUGGGGGGUGCUUGAAAAACGGGUAUUCUGCUAUUAUAGAAUGUCAAAAUAUCAACUGUAAUAAACAAGAAAAAUAAUCCUAGUCUUUUAUUUAAGGGCCCUCUUUAGUCCAUCUCAACAGACCCUUCUCCGAAGGGGAAAGAAAUGCAGCUCACAAGAGCCCAUUAAACAACUAAAACAAGACAAAAUAAAACAACUACCCCCUGCCAAUUUGCACACUGUUACUUCUUUUGUUUUCCCAAUCUUAUUUCUUCUUCUUUUUUAUAAUAAAAAAUUUCAAAGCAAUUAUCUGCUUUCUUACUUCCCCUUGACUUUGCCUAUGUUUAGUUUUACUUUCUAUGAUUGGCCAUCAACAAUUAGGCACAAACCAUUCUGAACUUCCUCUUCACACUUACUCAAGUGGGAAAGCUGCUGUUUACAAAGUUGCAAACUAGAAAGUGCUAAAUUGAUGUUGUACAUUUGCAAGCAUUCACGUUGAAAAAAAGAUGCAAAAGAAGACAGGUGAGACAUCUUGGGAAGUGAUGUGAG